AUGUACAGCAACCUGUUGGCUGGUGAACAAGGAGAUCCUUGGACUAUGUGCCAGUGGAAUUUGGGGCCUUCCCCACCUGACAGCCAGCUACAGACCUGUGACAUACAUCUCCAUCCCAUCAUUGAAGGUAAAUAUGGUGGUUGUGCCGGAGCUGUUGGCCCCUUGUUUUACAUCGCUGAUGGUCUCGUAGAAGUUUUCCCCACCGGGGACGCCUCUGACAGUGGGCAGGUGGUCCUGAGGCUGGAGCAGCUGUUGGUGUUGCUUGCUGUUGCUGUGGCGGUGCUGCUUCUUUUCUCUUCAACGUGGGCGCUACCCCUAAGCUACAGCGAUUCUUUCUCUUCAACGUGGCGCUACCCCCUGCUGGGCUGUUGUUGGUUCCCUCCUGCUCACGUUUCCGGUGGCUAUCAAUACUUGCGUAGGCAGCUUCUGCCUCGGUUGCAGUGGUGGACCAGGACCUGUCUCCUCCCAUCUCAUAGCAGGGCUCCUCCUGGGAGCGAGCCUGGAGCUGGACUGCCUUGCCUCGACCCCGGGAACCCAUGUUUCGUGGGAGGGUUUUUGCGCCACUGUGUUCCAUGGGCGUCUUCUUCUUCUGACUUUUGCAGACGAUGGAGCAGGAUAAGAGGGAGUAAACAGUGUUAUCAGCCUCCAAGGCAGAGCUGGCUCUGCAGUGGAAGGACCUGUUAAAUUUUCACUAUAACUGCUGUGGCAACUGAACACCGAGCGCCUCUCCACCCUCAUACAAGCCCUGCCCCCACAAAUCUCUUGUAUCUAUGACCUUUUUGGAUAAACAAAGACUCUGGCGUGUGCUUUACGGGUGUACACACAAUGUGCAGUGAAUGUAAGUACAGACACAUGUAUAUGUGUGCAAACACACUUUGCAGUUCUGUGCAGCUGAGGAAGGAAGUCACAAGAUGAUGAGGAUUUCAAAACUGGGCUGCAGCUGUUGAGGAAGCUUGUGUAUUGUUUGUUUUCUUUGCCUCACCCCAUCCGUCUGCACUUUUUUUUCCUCUCUUAAAAACCUGCCAAAAAGUCAAAGGCUUCAACUUCCCAUUAACAUAGAUGAAAACUAAAAAAAAAUAACAGAAACAUUUGCGUAUGAUCAUCUAUAUUUUUCUACAUGUUGUUUCCAAGUUCUUCUAUUCAUCGGGUAAGACAUGUUUUGUGCAACGUGAUUGGUUGACGAGGGCAGCGCCUCCGAAAAAGCCACAGAGGGAGUGGAGAGCGGCACAAGAGGGAGGAGAUUGAGCUGCAAGUAGAAAUUCAACACCUUUGUACAGCAGCAACUGACAAACUCCAGAGGAUAGAUAGCAUAUGGGCAAGUUAGGGCAACCACAAACUCGUGAAUGGAAAAACACAGCAACUAAGAAAGAGAAUGUUGUUUGCGAAAGGAAAAAAAAAAAAAAGUGUUUGAAAGAAAGAAAAUUGGGAGGAGAAUGUAGAAAGUAGUCAAGGCCAGAACCUCUGUGUGCCAGAGGAGGAGUUAAACAAGAGCGACAGAGCACAGACUUAACCCCGUGUUCUCCAAUAGACAGUGAAACUUGUUAAAACGGCAAAGAACUGAGUAGAGACUUUCAAACUGCUUAUUAAGUUCACUUCACUGCGUUCAAUUAGGAGGAAAUAUUACUUUUGUCUACAUAAAAAUCUGCUAACUGGUGUUAUUUGUUUGUGUUUCAAAAUAGAGACCUAUACACUGACAAUACAUCAAUGAAGGUGAUCAUGGAAAGCAUUGAUUAACCUGACACCAAUGAUAGAUGGUGCUCUGUUUGUACGCCAGCUGCCUCUGAAACUUCCAAACCUACAAAGAAGUCUCUCUUAUACUAGGGAAAGCAUUGAGCAGAGAAAAGGGGUGUAGCAGUGACCUGGGGUGGAGUUGCUACAUGUGGAAACGCAUGUGCUCAAGUAUGUGACAUGAUUGACACGUGCAAGUGUGAGUGCUUUCCCCUUCCACCAGCAGCUAAUUGUGUUUCUCAGUGAAAUUGUGCCAGGAUAUUGAUUACAGAGGUUUGGACCUAAGGUUUAGGCCUACACUCUGACCCCUGUACUGACGCAAGGUUAAGUCCAAUGGACUUGAUUUAUAAAACGCUUUUAUAACCAACGAGGAUGUCCCAAAGCACUUCACAAUAUCAACUACUUCACACACCAAUGGGACUGAGCUGCCAAGCAAGGCACUAGUCGACCAUUGGGAGCAACUUAGGGUUAAGUGUCUUGCCCAAGGACACUUCGACACAUUGGCCACGUUUACAUGGGAGCUUUAAUUCCUCUUUAAAGCAGAAUAAAAGUAAAUUGUACAAACUGUCA
rnacentral:lncRNA from 1 species